CAGGUGUUAAGAAAAGCCUAGACUUUCUGGGCCUCAUCUUCAAAAGAAUUCCACUCUGCAGCCUCCUCUCAAAGUCUGCUCAGGUGAGGGAGAUAUCUUACACCCUCAUUUCAUCAGGAAAGAAUCCUCUAUUACGGACUGCUGUUACCAGAUCCUUUGAGCAACAAACAAAGAUAUGCAUGCCUGGAAAACUGUACUAUGGAACUGAGCCUCCAUUCUGUGUUAUAACUUUCACCAAUUUCACUGCCACUUCUGCUUCCAGGUACCCCAAGGAGCUAUUUAUGAGUUAGAAACUAUCCCUACAGGCAUUGCCAUGCAGUAUUUUUGGAAGCGCAGUAGUAAAGAGACUUGAGAAUUUAUCAUCUUCCCUCUUAUUUCUUUGUAUUCCUCCCACUUUCCCAGUAAGUAAUGGUAAUAAAUCUCGCCUCUGGUGUAACUCUCUUUUCUCCUAGAGAAUUAGAGUGUGGGACAGAAUUUAGAAUUAAUAAUCCUAACCCCUGAAAGAUGGGUAGGUAAGACAGAUGCUGCCCUCAAUGCCUAGUUCUGAGGACACUCCCUCCAGAGGCUCUGUCUUCCUAUCUCCUUUUAGAAAUACUAAACAAUGAGACUAUUCAGAGGAAACAACUCAGACAAUAAGUAAUUUGCUUGGUAGAGUAACCUACCUGUACACUUUGAUUUUUUCCCCCAAGAAUUGGGAAGGAAAAGCAGGGGUCAAAGCCUCAGGAAACUUUACCCUAAUGGCCUAAGAAUUUUUCCGACUCUCUGGGGAAGUCUGAUCAGAGGGACUGUGGAAGCAGAAAUGAGUCUGUCAUCUGGGUGUUGAUCAGCAGGGGGCACUGUUGCACCCUCACUUGCUCUAGUGAAGAAGAUGACCUCAUCUUAGACAAACCAAAGGGGUGUUGAGAACACCACUGCAUUCCUGAGGCUGGUAGGUUUGAACAGAUAAUCUUCUCUUGAUCCAGGGAAACAGGUGGAUUGACUCCUGAUAGCCUUUAAAAAAGCAUGAUGGAUGGGCAGCAAGGGGCCCAGCACUAUUGUUUUCCUGGUGACCAACAGUACAACAACAUAUCAACAGGGGAAGACUAACAAAUGGGCAUACAAGCCCCCAA